UACGAAGGGUGCAAGCGUUACUCGGAAUUACUGGGCGUAAAGCGUGCGUAGGUGGUUCGUUAAGUCUGAUGUGAAAGCCCUGGGCUCAACCUGGGAACUGCAUUGGAUACUGGCGAUCUGGAGUGCGGUAGAGGGUGGCGGAAUUCCCGGUGUAGCAGUGAAAUGCGUAGAUAUCGGGAGGAACAUCCGUGGCGAAGGCGGCCACCUGGACCAGCACUGACACUGAGGCACGAAAGCGUGGGGAG
rnacentral:rRNA from 1 species